rnacentral:rRNA from 1 species
CCAAUAGCGUAUAUUAAAGUUGUUGCAGUUAAAAAGCUCGUAGUUGAAUUUCGGGAUCAAGGAAUCGGUCAUGCCUCGGUAUGUACUGGUUUUAUUGGUUCUCACCUUCUAAAGAACCAUAAUGUCAUUUAUUUGAUGUUAUGGGGAAUUAGGACUGUUACCUUGAAAAAAUUAGAGUGUUUAAAGCAAGCUUACGCUUGAAUACAUUAGCAUGGAAUAAUGAAAUAGGACAUCCGAUUCUAUUUUGUUGGUUUCUAGGAUCGAUGUAAUGAUUAAUAGGGAUAGUUGGGGGCAUUAGUAUUCAAUUGUCAGAGGUGAAAUUCUUGGAUUUAUUGAAGACUAACUACUGCGAAAGCAUUCGCCAAGGAUGUUUUCAUUAAUCAAGAACGAAAGUUAGGGGAUCGAAGACGAUCAGAUACCGUCGUAGUCUUAACCAUAAACUAUGCCGACUAGGGAUCGGAUGAUGUUUAUUUUUUAGUGACUCAUUCGGCACCUUACG